rnacentral:rRNA from 1 species
AAACCAGCACCUCAAGUGGUCAGGAGGAUUAUUGGGCCUAAAGCAUCCGUAGCCUGCUGUAUAAGUUUUCGGUUAAAUCCAUGUGCUCAACACAUGGGCUGCCGGGAAUACUGUACAGCUAGGGAGUGGGAGAGGUAGACGGUACUCGAUAGGAAGGGGUAAAAUCCUUUGAUCUAUUGAUGACCACCUGUGGCGAAGGCGGUCUACCAGAACAUGUUCGACGGUGAGGGAUGAAAGCUGGGGGAGCAAACCGGAUUAGAAACCCGAGUAGUCC